UGCAUUAGUCGAGCUCUUGCAAAUAAAAUGACACGGUAUAUAAGCGACAUGCGCAUGGUGAUACUCUGUAAGAGGCUUAUUGCAAUGGAUGAUGUCACUAUAGGAUAUAUCAUAGAAAAUAGAUGCCAAGUUAACCUCACGAAAAUCAGCCAGUUUCACUCUGUAUCUGAAUCUUUGCAAGCCAUCGAACCAAUAACAUUAAGAGAUCAGCUGACAUUCAGCUUUAGCCUGGCAUGCCCAAGACCCAA